CGAUCUUAUCUGUUUCGCUCAUUUAUUCGGAAUUUUCUGCUAUUUUCCGUAUUUUGUAAGCUAAAACUCUGAAUUUGUCUAUCGAACCACGGCAGGUGUUGGAUGUAGUAUUUGGCAGCCNNNNNNNNNNGACACUCCUGGCCCCGGCCAACUCUUUUCAGCACCCUAUGCGCCCGACGACAGCGAGAUCGCUGCGCGCCUGCUCGCGAUGCCGCCAUUGUCCGCCGAAGAGAACGCCCGCAUCGACCGCACC
rnacentral:misc_RNA from 1 species